GGGAUGGCGAAAAUGACAAAAUAAAGAAGGGCACGUUCAAAGGCAGCUCGAGGAAGAUAUUAACUCUGUGACAAGCUAUGAGCCGACGAAGAGAUUAGUCGAACGAAAAGACGAUGGCUAUGGAUAUGGCGUAUACCUCCUAGGUGUAUAUUUAUUAUAGUGUCGACUUCUGAAAAAGAUUUCUUAUGUUCCGCGUCGCAUUUUCGCUCCCGCCGAAACAACAAACAACCUCUACCGACCGCCAUACACCAGCAAUACGGCAAAUUGUAUUGAUUAACCCAUUAAAUAUUCAUUCAUGUCACGGGUUAGGCGUGUGAUAAAUGUAUGUAAUUACGUGGACAAAUAAUUGAAAUUAAUCGCACAUAUAUGCGUCUAUACUGUACACAAUUCAUACACGCGUAACAUAAUUCACGGGGUAAACGAACAUUUUAUGGGGUUAAUCGUUUGCCCUCACCGUAUACGGCUGCUGACUUCGUAUCAUCUCGCCGUAUUGUCUUUUACGAGACUCAAUAUUAUCAUAGGGCCCGGCCAUCUAGUUGUUUUAGCUGUAGGUAUUCGUAGAAUUCCGUAUGCAACCAGAGUAUUUACUGGACACUGCAGGAUAUUCAGUACGGUAGCGCGUGCCAGUGGCUCGAGGACUAUAGACUGAAUAACAAACUAGACGGAGCGUUUGGGAUAUCCUCGGGGUAAGGAUGUUGUUUCCUAGCCGGCCUUAGUCUACUACGACGGUUGGUCCUUUUGGCACGACUGCGCCUCGCAAGGUCUUCGGGCCCCACGUUUCGUCUGUAUUGAAUAUAAUUUACGUUUGCGGAAAAAAUUAAUAUCUGAUCGAACCUACACCUGGACUUUCGUAAAAAAUAAAAAAAUUUAUUCCGCCGCGAUAUCAUGACGUUUGUUACUGAUUUCAGGCGAAUUACGACUGCGAAUAAAAUCGCCGGAAAGUACGUUUAAAACGGAGAUAGCGCCUAUUUGAAAUAUUUUUUAUCUAGAUAUUAAUUGCAUCGGUUUUGUUAGUUUUUAUUGUAUAAUAACAUAUUUUUGUUUUGUUCGCGUUACCGAUUUUUAUCUAUUUUUUUUUUUUUUUUUUUUUUUCAUUAUUUACAUAAGUUUAGAUAAGGUUUUAUUUACAUUCCGUUACGUUUCGAUUGUGGUAAAACAGUUUCCGUUUCAAAAAUUUCGCAAUCGACUCGUUUUGCAUUUCCUAAAAAUUGUGACGGUCAAAAUUAUUACAACUAUAUAAUGGUGUUAUAAACAUUAAAAUUGGCGUUCCUUGCAGUUUUUUUUUUUUUUUUUUUUUUUAAAUGCACUACAUUA